UCCAUAAUGUGCUUCCAAUGGAAUCCUGG
rnacentral:piRNA from 1 species